rnacentral:misc_RNA from 1 species
CGAUGAUUCUGGCCUGUAGCGAGCGGUUCUAUAUUUCUGCAGGUGGCUUUUCACGUGGUAUAUGGUCAAGCCUUCCAUUUUCAUGAGCUUCAGAACUCCUUUAGGAGUAGCUUUUUCACUGCCACCAAGUCUGUUAACGGCUUCCACGAAGCAUUCAUGGAGUUCUGGUGUCCAUCGCAUGCGUGGCUUGGAUGUGGCACCAUUAGCAGAGGAGGGACUAGGGACGGCACAAGAAUCCACCGAAUGAGAAGGGACUGAUAGUUGAAUCGGCGGCUGGUUCACUGGAAAAUUUAACGAUGCUGGAACUAUUGAUUGUAUGGCCUGUACUUG